UGCAUGCUGUAUUUGGGCAGGAAGAGGCCCAGCGUCUCCCUGCCUGUGUGUCAGAGAGGAAGAAGGUGUUAUUGAAGUGGCAUGGCUGGACCCUUCCAUCAGUGCUGCUCGGGGACCCUUGUUCCCUUCUCAGCAGUGUCACCAUACUGCAUCCUCAGCAUCACCUGCCCAGCCUCCCUUUGUUGGUGCCUUCUCCCAGCUCCUCCAUGCGCUGCACUGGUCCCCAAGGUCCUCCAGCAUCCUCUCUCCUCUACUUAUUCCUGCCUUCCAAACUCUCCCUGCCUUCUCUCUUCAGCUCCUUCCUCCCAGAUGAAUCCUGUUGGUAGAAAAGGAAGCCUGGUGAGGGUUUGGCCCCCAUGCUCAGUGCUGGUAGAUGCAAUGCAAACCUGAUGCUGUGAUAAAGUAAAUCGAACCGAGAUGUGGAGUUUGGCUUCUGGGCAAGAAAGACCAUUCAGGUUUCAGCAGAUGCCUGCUUCUCUGGUCCUGCUCUCUCUGAGAGCUCCAUGGGGAGCAGCUCUUGGGGUGAAGACAGAGUUUGGCUUAGCCUAGGGCUUGAGGAGAGGUGGCCGAGACAGAGUGGGAUCUGGUGAAGGCUUGGCUCUCAGCUUCAGACCCUGCAGAUGUCUGGAUGCUCACGGUCUCUAGCUGGUAUUUCUCAUUGCAGAGCCAGCAUUUGGUGAAGCAUCACCCCCCCCCCCCCCAUGUUCUAUCCAGACCUACCUGGACCCUCUCCUUCCCCUGCUGCUGCCUCCCUGCUCACUGGCCAUGCACAGGAGGGGAGCAGGCAUCUCCCACCCCUUCUACCAGCUGCAAUCACACCAUGCACAUGCUCAUCCUCUAUGUCACUCCGCGCUAGCACCCCUUGGGAUUUGGCCAGCGUGUGUCAGGGCUAUGUGCCUCUUCCUCUCCAGCUGCUCUCUGCUCGGCUGCAUCACCCAGAGCAUCCCUUCCUCCUGCUUGGGGUUGCUUUGUACAUCUGAGUUAUUUUGCCCUGAUUUAUACUAGGUCACGGGCUUGUGGGUCCCUUGCUUGGCCAUGGUAGCGCAGCCUCUUCGAUUAGGUGUAUUUCCAAGCAUGACUUCCAUCUGUCCAUCAGUCACUAUAGCUAAUUUCUGCUGCAUUUACAGCCAUACAGGGGCAUCCUUCGUGUGUAAUAAUCGCUGGUGGUGGCAGGACUGGGAGAAGGGGUCUAUCCCACGUGUUUCACCUCUUCUCCAGUCACAAACAGUUUGGGAUUUUUGGUAGUUGCAUUAAGUAUUCCAAGUGAUUUCCAUUUCCCCCAUUGCAUUCAUUAUCCCAAAUUGUUCUCCAGAUGAUUUCCACAAAUAAUUCGCGGGUCUUUGCUCUUUGGUGGAUACUCAGGCUCAAGAACAGGAGUCGUUUUAAUUGGGAUCUUACAUCACGUGAUGGCGUUUGGCUUCCCGAUUGGGCAAGGCUUCAUCUUUAGCCUUCAAUGUGGAGGCGUGCAGGCCCCGCUGCAAAGAUUGAUGCACACAAUAGGAUCGGUGCCUUUGGAUUUGUUUGAAGAGAUCCGAGAGCCAUUGAAAACUCAACCGAGGAGGGGUGGUUGCUGCUGAUGCUGGUUUCCUCCGCCGGACGUGCCCAUUCCUAAAGCUUUCCAGAGGCACUGGGGUGGAUGAGGGGGGACGAGUGGCCGCAGUGGCAAUGGGCAGAGCUAGCAGCUCCGUUUUGGAGGUGUGAGAAAUACCCCGGCUGGCUCAUUGGCAGCGCGGAGAGCUCGGGAAGAGCUUGCAUGCGUCACAUACUUGCCCAAACCUCUCCUGCUUUGCAACGUGCCCGCUAAAGGAAAACAUGGAUCUGACAGCAAUAAAACUGUCGGGCGGCUGCUGCUGCUGCUGCUGCCUUUAAAAGUUCCAUGAUAGCUUCUUCCCCCCCCCCCCUUCCCCUUCCCCAUCCCUUUAUUUUUAAUAGCUAAUGCAUCUGUCACUACUUCCCUAAUGAGCUUUCCGAAAAGGGCCGUGGGGACCUCUGCCUACCCAUGCGGGCUUGGGUAGGCGCUUACUCAAGGGAGGCAGAGGGAAUUCAGCUCCUUCUUUUCACCCCCAUCUCCUCCCCAACCUCCUCUCGGAGGGCAGGCUGUCCAGAGGGAGGGGAAAGGCAGCAAUAUCCGAGGACUGGGCGAGCUGGCGUGCACCCCCUGCAAUCACAGCCAAUAAUGACAAAAAGACGGGGCUGCUGCCAGAGAUAGAGAGCUGAGCUCCAAGCGUUACAGCAAUGUCACAGCCUUGGGACUGCUGCUGGCUGCUACUGGAAAGAGAUUUCCUCACAACAGGCAGAGUUAUAGGAAGGAGCCAUUGAUUGCAUUAAAAAACACUCUCCCCACCUCUCUUUUUUUGGCAUGGAUUUUCAAGGCUGGGUAUUUUUUUUUCCCUCCCUUCUUUCCAUUCCCCCCCCCCCUCCUUCUCCUUCUCUCUCCAUUUGCCAUUGAAGUUGCGUUC